rnacentral:rRNA from 1 species
UACGAAGGGGGCGAGCGUUGUUCGGAAUUACUGGGCGUAAAGGGCGCGCAGGCGGUCCUUCAAGUCAGAUGUGAAAGCCCCGGGCUCAACCUGGGAACUGCAUUUGAGACUGGAGGACUUGAGGACGGGAGAGGAGAGUGGAAUUCCCAGUGUAGAGGUGAAAUUCGUAGAUAUUGGGAAGAACACCGAUGGCGAAGGCAGCUCUCUGGACCGAGACUGACGCUGAGGCGCGAAAGCGUGGGGAGCAAACAGG